AAGCAUUUUUUUUUUUUUUUUUGCUUUCUGUUUUUCAGUUUUUGGCUGGGAAAACGGAAACUGCUAUGUACUAUAGAGGAUUUUGUUCAUUAUUUGACCCAUAAAAAUCAACAAGUUUCUGUAAAACGAAGACCUGAGUUCUGAGAAGAACAAUGUAAUCAGCAGUUUCUUCGAACAACUGGUCAGGUUUGAUUUCACCAUUGUUAGCUGGAAUUAACUGCCUGAGAGCUUCCAAUUUUUCAGAAACGGAAGUGCAUUCGCCAAUUCUACCGUCGUCCCCAUCAACGUUGACGUUGACAAACCUUGAUGUAUUUUGAGAUUUGCAUGUUUUUUUGUGAGUGGUGCAUCUUCUUGUUCUUCUCAUUGAUAAGUUAGCGGAGGGAGAACCCAUUAUCGAAUUGUGUGUAAAUUUGGGGAAGAUGAAUGUUGAGUUUUCUGGUGGAACGGAGGACGGAGGGAGAUUAUAGUUAAAUCUGUUCCGUGAUAGAGCAACGCUUGGGGUUUAAGUAAUGGAAGUUUUUGUUAUUGCCACUCUUUCGUCAGUGAAUUACAGAAAUGCCAUUAUUACUUUUUGGUAGCCUCUCCGUACCGGUUUAAUUCAAUUCAAUUCAAAAUUGUCACAUAGAGUAUAUUAGAAAAAUAAAUGAAGCAGAAACUUAUAUUGAACCAACCAUUUGUUUGUGUGUUUUUAAAGAUAUUUAAUCCCCUCACAGUUAAUCUAAGGAUUAUGGAUUAAUUACUCUUAGGAUAGAAUAAAAUUUUAUUUAUGUAAAA
rnacentral:lncRNA from 1 species